CGAGAGGCCUCGGUGGCGCAAGAGGACCUUGCAGACACCGUGGAGACGCGAAAGGGGAACAGUCUUCCCCAAGCCCGGAGGCUGGAGGAGGGCCAGAAAGAGGCGGAAAGCGACACCGAGAAUCCAUUCCAAACGAGCAGCCAAGAGGAGACGCGGCAGCUCCCAGAUGUUGAUAUUUUGUUUUUUGACAUAAAUCUUUGCACUCAU